rnacentral:tRNA from 1 species
AAGAAGAAAGCUUCUACAGCAUUAUGGUUUCGACCCAUAAAAUGAACUACCUAGUUCUCUUCUUUC